GGUCAAUGAUGAGUCUUGGCAUGUAUUAUGAAUCUAAAGUUGAUGAUUAUCACACUUUAGCUCUAGAAUUACUCUGAGACCUG
ensembl:snoRNA